rnacentral:rRNA from 1 species
UUCGGGGAACGAUAACGGCGUCGAGCGGCGGACGGGUGAGUAAUGCCUAGGAAAUUGCCCUGAUGUGGGGGAUAACCAUUGGAAACGAUGGCUAAUACCGCAUGAUGCCUACGGGCCAAAGAGGGGGACCUUCGGGCCUCUCGCGUCAGGAUAUGCCUAGGUGGGAUUAGCUAGUUGGUGAGGUAAGGGCUCACCAAGGCGACGAUCCCUAGCUGGUCUGAGAGGAUGAUCAGCCACACUGGAACUGAGACACGGUCCAGACUCCUACGGGAGGCAGCAGUGGGGAAUAUUGCACAAUGGGCGCAAGCCUGAUGCAGCCAUGCCGCGUGUGUGAAGAAGGCCUUCGGGUUGUAAAGCACUUUCAGUCGUGAGGAAGGUGGUGUAGUUAAUAGCUGUAUUAUUUGACGUUAGCGACAGAAGAAGCACCGGCUAACUCCGUGCCAGCAGCCGCGGUAAUACGGAGGGUGCGAGCGUUAAUCGGAAUUACUGGGCGUAAAGCGCAUGCAGGU